AGCUCCCAGGGUUGAGCACGUCCCUGGGCGCUCUGCAAGUCCUUUUCGCGGGCCCCACCUCGUGUGACUGCGUGUCACUGUGUUUCAGCGUCGAGGGUCGCAUGUACGUGACGUGUUAGCCGGGAGAAGGCUCGCGAGGUCGGUUUGAGAUGCUUCGGUCUUCCUCUGCCUUCCCUGUCUUUUGUUGCAGCGGCAGGAUUCAAUGAGAGUUGCGGCGGUGCGUGCGGGUUUGGGUGGCGAUGCGGUGGCCGCCCAACAGCAAAAAAGCUCCUCCCCUCCGGCCGGAUCCGUUCUCCCCACCGAAACGCCGCCGCUUCCUUGGCCUGGCGCUGGUGCUGGAGGUUGGAGGAGACGGAGGCUAAGAUGAAGGCGAGAGAGGCGGUGGCGGCGCAUUGGAGAGGCAGGCAAAGAUAUUGUCGAGGUGGAGGCAGUGCACGAACUCCGAGUUGUUCUUGGGGGAGGGCUCGAGCUCCCAGGAACGCGGCGCAUAUCACAUCUUUUAGCGGCGGCGUCGGCUUGGCCUGGGCCUGGUCAGGCUGGGCGAACUCCCGGGACCGCGCGGCGCGGAAGUCGACGACAAGCAGGGGCGCGUCGGCUCAGUCUUGGGGACGAGGAAUGGGGGAUCCAUCACCCAUGGCCGCACAAUGCCAUCAACAAUCGGCGGCGGCGCUGGCUCUGCUCGUGGAGGAAUAACGGGUAGAGUGUUUUGACAGGGAUGGUGUUGGUCGACUGUCCUCCCACGUUCGCUGUAAGUGCCAGCCAAAUAGAUGGUGUUUUCCUUUCUCUGUUUCCUCUUGUGCCAUUUGUGGGUUGGGAUCAUGUGAUGGGUCACAAAUUGAUGCUACUUGUGAUUCCUAUGCGCCCCAUUGAUCGACUGAUUGAUUCAUAUGCUAAGUUCAAUAAAUGGAAAUAUGGAAUAGUUGAGUUCAACGAAAAUCAGCCAUCAGAUUUUAGAGUAGUGGAUAAAAACGAAGUGAAACAGGAGCGGCAGCAAAUAGCCAGGGCCAUGCAUGCUCAAAUUUGAGAUUUUCGUUUUCAAUGUGAGGACUAGAGAAACAUAUGUUAACUGCUCUCAGGUACCGUCUCCGCCUCUCCGGUACCGUCGGCCGCGUAUGAGAUGGAAAACUCUGCUUCUGAUUCCUGACCUCAAAUCCAUGUGACAAGGUCAAACGAGAACAUACUACUAAGCCUUUCAAGCGGUCACAGGAAAGAGUAAAAGGUAUUGUAUUGAUAUCCACUUAGACAUUGUGUUAACUAAUAUUUCCUAUCUUUUUGUGUUUUUUCUGCCACACAUGCAUAAGCAUUCCUUACUUUCAGCUCUAUAUGAAAAUCUUGAAGGGAUAAUUCAUCCCAAUCAACUGGAUUAAAUUGAUCUACAGGAAAUUCUAAGCUUUUUUCGUAAAGGGGAAAAACCCCAGCCCCUGCAUCAAGAAACUCUUAAGGUGGCAACGGCUUUGAUACUAUUUAUGUAAAACCUUUGAAUUAAAUAUUCGACUGUACAAAUUAAUUCCUUACUCACGACAGCUAGGAGGUUACAGUUGAACAGAAUAGGAAUAUCCUGACGGUUAAACUAGCAUCUAUGCCAUCCUAUGUUUUAUGAGCAUGUAAUUAUUUUAUUUGAAAGUAAUAUUCAAACAUCCUUCCAUAGAUUAUGAUGUCCAUUGGGACGUGUGAAUGCUCUCAUCAUAGGAUAAUGAACUAACUGUUAUAUUUUUGGCUUUCGAUUUCAGAAAUUUUGUUGGAAUACAUUUUGUUUGAAAUCAUGUGCUUGCUAAAGCAAACACAGGCAUAAUUGUCAAGAAAUCAAGUAUUCAGUAUCCAUACAUUAAAAGGAUGUACCUUAUUAUUUUUUUGCUAGAGUGGCUUACCUAAUGGUUCCUGGGAUAUGAAGGAUAGUAAUAAGAACCUCAACUUUGUGUACACCCUUAGGACAAUCAAGUAUUUAGUAUCCUGAUCAAUUUUACCACAUUUUCCAUGGCUUGCCUUCGUAUCUCUUCUGACCUCAAGCUGGCGUCUUUCACCAGAGCAUUGGAGGAUCGUCCCGUCUGGUAAGAACUAUAGCUUUCUCAAGUCAGAACAGGCCACCACUUUACAAAAUGAUGAGAUCAGAUGAUCCACAAAUUGGGAUAUGUAAAAUCUACAAAAUAUUUAUGCUGGUGGUAUAUAAUUGUCGUGCAUUUCAGCAAGCUAGCUAUAAGAAAAUGUCGUCUGAACUCAUUAAAUAUUACAAUUUUGCGUGCCCUGAAAUACUUUUCUUAGCUAUAUUUGUUUCUUGCUCUCCAUGUAUAGUUAUCGCCUGGCCUUUGGGCUUAGACAAAUUUUAAUUCAGCUGAAAUUUCUGAUCAAUAUCUGAAGUUAGAUAAAACCCUCUGCAUAUACUAUGUGCAUCUGUAGCCACUGGCUUCAAUGAUGUAUUUAAAUUAUUAUGUUCAUUUUAAAGUUUUAAACGCUAAAAUUUUGUUGUGGUUAGCUUGUGUGAUGUUUGUGUCUAUAAUGUCUCAUUUUAUUACAGCGAUACUAUCUGGUUUUGGAGCCCAUGUUGUGUACAUUUCCAGAUGCAAGGUGAGGAUUUUAUUGGUUGAAUAUGUUUUGGUCCCCCACUCCGAUAUUUGGUUUGUUGAUGAGUCAUCCGAAUACAGUGUUUACGUACUGUGGUUGACCUGAAUAUGUCGAUUGAGCCCGCAUGUCGUCUGUAGUUUUAGCUUUUGCUGGUUUCUUCCCUGUGCGUCAUGGGUGUGGUAGGAGGAAGUAUGUGUUUGUUGUGGAGGAAAUGAUGUGGUAUACUUUGAGCAUUAUCUGUUGCUCUUGCAAUCCUUUUAUAUGCAGAAAAAUAUACAAUCCUUUUAAAAUAUUUUCAGAAUAGAGCUCUUUGAGAAAUCAGGCCUACUUUUGUCCUAUUAAUUUACUCUUAUUCUAUUGAUGGUUUCUUCAAGAGUAGAGGGAAAUGUGAAGUAUCAUGUAUCCUUCGUUGUUUCAGAAUAGCAUGUGAACUGCUCUUAGCUGUUUCAGAAUAGCAUGUGAGGUAAUUAAGUUAUGAGAUAAUACCAUUUUGAGCUCAUGGUACACCCACAUAGUACAUGUCACAGAAUCUCUUAUGUGUUAGUUCUUUAUACAAUAACCUGUAAUUUUGUUUCCUAUUUUUUCUAUAAUUUGUUUCAGAUACCUUGGAAAUGUGGUUUGGAGCACAUUACAGAGAUCACUGCAAAUCCAUGUAUAGCUGAUACCUGUUUUUCUUGGCCAAAUAAAAUGAAAUGAAAAAAAUAUUUUUUCCCGUAUUGAGGUCAUCUUAGAAGAUGUUCCUCUAUUCGCUCAACUAAUGCAAGCCUUCUAAAGGUGUUUUCUUCUUGCCGCAGGUGAACAACAAGGUUGCGAGGUGCUGUGAGGUAUGCCUGUGUAGACCUUAUUAAUUACAUGCACCAGGCACAGAAGCCUCUUGCUGCUUAUCAAAUCAUCGUUAUCUGGUAUAUAUGGAGGCCUUCCACCUAUACAUCAAACCUAAUCAGGGGUCAAAAUGACGUGUUUGCGGUCAUCUGGUAGCAAAUGGAUAACAAUUGUUUCCUCUGUUGUUUUAGCUAAAGGAAAUGACCAACUGUGGUUUACUUUUGGUAUAUGGUUAAUAACGAUUGGUUUGGUAAUACUGAUGUACCCUUUGUAAAUGCAAACAUGCUUUUUUAGACCA